rnacentral:lncRNA from 1 species
AUGAUUGCACUUGAUACUACUGAAAUGUACACAUCAAGUGGUUACAAUGGUAACUCUGUUAUGGGUAUCUUAACCCAAUGUAAAAAAAUAAAAAUGACCACGUGUGUGGCUAGGUCUGUGUCCUGCCUCAGCACAGAUGCGGAAGAAGGAAUGCAGCUGUCCUUACAUGCACAGCAGAAAUGUAAUGCCUCAUCCGCUGCCUUAUUCUGUGGUGGUCUCCGGUCUGAAGUUCAGCUGACAACAACGGCUACUGAGUGUGGCUUUUCCUCGCACUUCCCAUUGCUUAAAGAAGGGCCUUGCUCCUCCUCGCAUAGAGGAUCAGACCUGACUUGCGGGCAGGGAACCCCUUCUACAGCAACGUGCUUCGCUGCUUAUUCAAACUGCAGGCAAAAGCUGAGCAGUGUAAACAAUCCAACAUGUCCACGGCCGCAGGUGCGCCGGCAGGUUAUACUGCAGUGACAGCCACCACCUGUUUAGCUUCAGAAGCCUCAUGCACAGCUCGAUGCAAGGAACCAUGGGAGAAACAUGAGUGCUUCUGAGUGUGUUCCUAGCGUACCAGGCAGAGGGCCGUAGGGAACUUUGCAAGCGCAAGUUUGCUUCAGAUGGUGGCACACCUUGUACUCAUUCUGUAAUUUGUGAAAGUAUUAAGCAAAAACUACUAGAACAGAAUGUAAGAGUGCUUCUACAACAGAAGAUAAGGAGGAAGAUGCCUCAGAUUUUGUGAGAAGGAUGCUGGCUGCUGUCAUCUCCAAAACUUUCCCACAACAUUAGUGAAUCCACAGGACACUGCAAGAACCAGACGAUGUAAAGACAUGUUUUCAGACACUGCUUGGUUGCUCAAGAGGAAGGCCCUGGGUCUCUACUGUGGUCUACUGAUUCACCUGGUGAGGCAGAUUCCAAGCAGCCAGGACGAUGGCCACCAAGGUGCAGAUCGAGUCUACGGUUAGGGCAUCUGGCCACAUCUAACAAAAUCACAAAAUCCGCAGAACCAAGAGUGCGGGAAUAUUCCAGCAUACCACGCAAUAUUAAAGCUAGCUGGAGGACAGAAGAAACAAAGUCUGGGGACAGCGAACUAUUCCCAGGUGGACAUUUCACUGUGGGAACGCCUGUCUUAUUUUUGCUUGUUUGGUAAUGUGGAAAACUCCUUGGCUGCUUCAUGGAAAAGGCUUUCCAGGCGCUCCUUUCUCCAAAGUGCCUGACUACCGCAUCCUAUUCACACAGCUGAGGUGGGCUGACUUACAACAGAGAAUAAUGUCUGCUCCAUGAGCGCUAUUCUACUCUGCUAAGUUAAGCCAUCACUAGUUAUGUGGGAACUGUAUAAAAACUACCCAAAGAGACUACUGUAGUCAUAAUUUCUAGCUUCUGGCUUCUGUUUAAGUCCUUACAAAGUUGUAACAUAGCAACAAUAAUAGCAAGGUCUUCUGUAUUUUCAUACUUCUUGACAAGAUCUGGCAGAGUAGAGUUAAUUAUUAGAAUAUUAGUCACUAUUCUGAACAAUCAAAGAAACAAAGUUUGAAAAUCUUACAUCCAGUCUUAAGAUUAAAAUGUUCUGGUUUCCACUUCAGACAAGUGCUUGAUAUUUAGCACAAUUUAAAUGUUUAUGAGCUGGGCGUGGUGGCUCACGCCUGUAAUCCCAGCACUCCGGAGGCUGAGACGGGAGGAACAUCAUGAGUUUAGAGACCAGCCUGGGCUACAAAGUGAGCUCAAAGCUGGCCUGAACUGUAUAGUGAGACCCUGUCUCAAAAAAGACAAAAUAAAUAAAUAAAUGUAUGUUUAAAUUGUUAGAGCAUCAAACUUAAAUGGUAAUAACUGAGGACAAUUAACAGUUGGUGACAACAUAAAAUAUUGAGUCUUUGUCAUUCCAGGGGUACAAGCUCAAACCUUUUCUAAUUUUGUAGUACAGAAGGCAGGUAGAAUGCGACUGUCUUUCGGUAACUUAUUGAUUAUGAACCUGGAUUUUCCCUAUUUAUCAUACCUAGUGCCAGAGUUUGCCCCACAAAGGGUCAUGUGUUAGAAUGUGCUUCCCAGCAGAGAGGUGCUGAGAUGGUAUGUCUGGGUGGGGGUGCUCAGCGGUACAGUGCUGCCCAGCAUGAAUAAGGUGCUGGGCUUGAUUCCCAGUACCAGACAAAAAGAGAUGAGGGCCUAGGGAGAGGUGAUGAAAACACAGGGAAGACGCCCUCAGACAGGACUAACGCCCAUCUCUCGGGACUGGGUUAGGUCUCCUGUAAAUCAGUUCUCACAGAAAAGGUGAUGAGGUGAGGUCACCCCAUGUAUUUGGCCACUACUUUAUGCAGCCAGUUCUCCUCCCACUUUCCCACCAUGUUGGGAUGUGCAGCUUGAGGGGGCUCACCAGACGCCAGCACUGUACUGUUUGGACUAGAAUGGCAGGCAAAAUAAAUCUCUCUAUAGAGUACUGUGACAGUUAAGUUGGAUUUUCCAUUUGACUGGCUUCAGAGCCACCUAGGACAUUAGUAAAGCACACUUCUGGAUGUGUCUGGGGGGAUUAUAGAAGGAAUGGCAGAGAAGAAUCAGCUCAUGCCAUGGUGGCAGGAAGCACAGAGAGAUCACAGAAGGAGGG